AAUGGCGCAAGCCUGAUCCAGCCAUGCCGCGUGAGUGACGAGGCCUUAGGGUUGUAAAGCUCGUUUUGGCGGGGGACGAUAAUGACGGUACCCGCAGAAUAAGCCCCGGCUAACUUCGUGCCAGCAGCCGCGGUAAUACGAAGGGGGCUAGCGUUGUUCGGAAUCACUGGGCGUAAAGCGCACGUAGGCGGAUUUGUAGUCAGGGGUGAAAUCCCGGGGCUCAACCUCGGAACUGCCUUUGAUACUGCAAGUCUCGAGUCCGGAAGAGGUGAGUGGAAUUCCUAGUGUAGAGGUGAAAUUCGUAGAUAUUAGGAAGAACACCAGUGGCGAAGGCGGCUCACUGGUCCGGUACUGACGCUGAGGUGCGAAAGCGUGGGGAGCAAAACAGGAUUAGAUACCCUGGUAGUCCACGCCGUAAACUAUGGAUGCUAGCCGUCGGCAAGCUUGCUUGUCGGUGGCGCAGCUAACGCAUUAAGCAUCCCGCCUGGGGAGUACGGCCGCAAGGUUAAAACUCAAAGGAAUUGACGGGGGC
rnacentral:rRNA from 1 species